ensembl:snRNA U4 U4 spliceosomal RNA
AUAUUAGGGCUCUAGUGGCAGUAUCGUAGCCAAUGAGGUUUAUCCGAGGCGCGAUUAUUGCUAAUUGAAAACUUUUCCCAAUACCCCGCCGUGACGACUUGCAAUAUUCUAUUUUUUAAUG